rnacentral:tRNA from 1 species
GUCCUCGUAGCUCAGCUGGAUAGAGCGCAAGCUUGCGGAGCUUGAGGUCGUCGGUUCAAAUCCGGCCGGGGACACCA